rnacentral:rRNA from 1 species
AGAGUUUGAUCCUGGCUCAGAUUGAACGCUGGCGGCAUGCUUACACAUGCAAGUCGAACGCGAAAGCGGAGCAAUCCGCAAGUAGAGUGGCGAACGGGUGAGUAAUAUAUCGGAACAUUUCCAGUAGCGGGGGAUAACCUGUCGAAAGAUAGGCUAAUACCGCAUACGCCCCACGGGGGAAAGCGGAGGACCGCAAGGCUUCGCACUAUUGGAGUGGCCGAUGUCGGAUUAGCUAGUUGGCGGGGUAAAAGCCCACCAAGGCUACGAUCCGUAGCUGGUCUGAGAGGACGAUCAGCCACACUGGAACUGAGACACGGUCCAGACUCCUACGGGAGGCAGCAGUGGGGAAUUUUGGACAAUGGGCGCAAGCCUGAUCCAGCCAUGCCGCGUGAGUGAAGAAGGCCUUCGGGUUGUAAAGCUCUUUCGGCGGGGACGAAAAGGUUCGUGCUAAUACCACGGACUAAUGACGGUACCCGAAUAAGAAGCACCGGCUAACUACGUGCCAGCAGCCGCGGUAAUACGUAGGGUGCAGGCGUUAAUCGGAAUUACUGGGCGUAAAGCGUGCGCAGGCGGUUUGUUAAGACAGAUGUGAAAUCCCCGGGCUUAACCUGGGAACUGCGUUUGUAACUGGCAAGCUAGAGUGUGGCAGAGGGGGGUGGAAUUCCGCGUGUAGCAGUGAAAUGCGUAGAUAUGCGGAGGAACACCGAUGGCGUAGGCAAUCCCCUGGGCCUGCACUGACGCUCAUGCACGAAAGCGUGGGGAGCAAACAGGAUUAGAUACCCUGGUAGUCCACGCCCUAAACGAUGUCAACUAGGUGUUGGGGAUUUAACAUCCUUAGUAACGCAGCUAACGCGUGAAGUGUCCGCCUGGGAGUACGUCCGCAA